rnacentral:rRNA from 1 species
CAAUAGCGUAUAUUAUUGAUGUUGCAGUUGAAACGUUCGUAGUCGAACUUUAUGUGCUUGGAUACUGGUUGUUUGAUUUGCAUCUUACUUUGAGUGAAUCGGUGUGUUCCACGCAGGCAUGUGCCUUGAACGAUUUACCAUAGCAUAAAUAGAGUAUGGAAGUAUUUGUUUGCUUGUUCACGGAUAUUUCUGAUACUGACAAGAACGGUUGAGGGCAUUCGUAUUCAACUGCUAGAGGUGAAAUUCUUUGAUUAGUUGAGGACGAACUAUUGCGAAAGCAUCUGCCAUGGACGUUUCUUUUGA